UCCGGCGCGAGCCUGUCCCUGUCAGGCGAGAGGGGCGAGGAUCAUAUUUUUAUUUUGGAAACUGAAAAGUGCUCCCGGGGCCGGCGAUCAUGAAGGGGAAAUCCCUGAAUGUCCUCUCCAGCCAGGAGGCAGGGCUGCCGGCUGCGCUACGAGAGGCGGCAGCCUCCUACAGCACCACUAUCGGCACCGCGAGGACAUAGCACCAGACCGCGCUCCCGGCCCCCGAAACGACAACUUUCCUACCAUCUUGGCGGCCGGGGAAGGGGGGCCGGGGGGACGAGCGCACCCGCGCCCGAGAGAGCACCGACUCCGACUUCUCAUCUCGGGGGGAAGGCGCCCCCCGGCCGUCCACGCCGGCGCCCGGGGGCAGAGCGGGCCCGCGACGGGGGGAGCUGCUGCUCGAGAGACGCGCUCCUGGGCACCCGGGGGGCAGUGCGCCUGCAUCUUGUGGUGGAGAGAGAUCUUGACAGGACCCCGGGUUCCCGGUGGUGAUUGUGUUCUGUUUUCCGUGUCGGUGACGGUGGUAGGUUACAUUUUUUAUUUUUAUUUUAUUUUUUUCAGGCUUAUCAUGGUGUUUUUUUUUCUUCCCCUCCGUUACAGAUCUAAGCCACGUAAGUAAAACCUGACGGACGGUCCAGGAAGGCAGGAUCCAGAUGUGCAAACCCCACGUGCGCACCAAGGCAGAGAUCACCAGCGGUCAGAUGCAGCUGUGGUGUAAGUGACCACGUUCCUGGAAACCUCAUUCUGUUAUGGUCUUGCCAGGAAGAAAGGUUACUGUAAAACUGGAAAUAGAUUCUGAUGACCAGCUUUAGGUUUUAAGUAGAAUGACUUAUGAAGAAUUCAUUAUCGCCAGGCAUUUUUAAAAUUUUUUAAUUUAUUUAGAUUUUUUUUUUGGGGUAAGGCGUAAAUCUUGGGUGCAUGACACAUGUUGCUGUCCACUUUCUGUUGUGUCACAGAAGCGAGCGGUGUCUUUUUGUUGGAGUUGAAAUGUUGUCUGCUCAGGACUUCCAGUGUGCUGCCGGGCUGUAUAAAUUACUUUUAAUGUGUUUCGGUGGAUGGUGGAUGUCAUCAAUCUUUUUUUUUAAUUAGCAAAGCUUAGAUGAAUAGCAUCCGAGUUCCCGGGAGCCUAGGUAGAGCUAGCGCAGUGGUGAGAGAGGAAGGUGAUGCCCACUUGCAACACUUCCCAUAGAACUCUGACGGGGGAGAGUGAAUGGCAGAGAUACUUUCCUACGUUUGUGAGAAAGAGGAGAAUCUUAGAAAACAACCAGAGGAUCAUUUUGCUUGUUCUCCAGGCCAUGGGGAGGCUUAUACUUAGUUAUUUUUCUGACAGAUGUUGGCUAACCUAAUGGGAAUUGAUUUGUAAUCUGACUGCCUUGAAUCUCUUGCAUUUUAAAUUUAUUACAGUGCAUUAAGAAAUAACUGAUGACUCCACUUCAACAUGUUUAUGUUUUGAGCUCACAAAUUUAGAAUUUUAAAGUAAGUUCUGGUAAUGCAUGUAUCGUGGUAUUUUCAUGCUGACCCCCAUCUUUAUCAUCUAAGUUUCCCCCCCCAAAUGCCAGUGUAGCUGAAUAGUUGAGGUGUUCUUUUGUGGGUUUUUUUUCCCUCUGGUAGGAAAAUUUAAAGUAAUUAAAAUUAACUGAUUUUUAUCAUCUUGGAAAUUUGGGUUGUGAAGUUCUGUUCAACUUACAAAUCUUUUAAGCAUUUGGAGAUCAAACAUAUUUGUCGUAACAAGGAAAUUACUUCUCUUAACAUAGAACUCUAAGGGUCUUGAAAAACGUGUUUUGAACAACUUGUUCCUUGAACAUGACGUGACUUUAUAGAUAAUGCUUUGAAUUUUUUAAGAAAUUAACAUGUGUUUGUGCUGGCUGCACCCAUUUAUGCAAUCCGUCUAGUGACCAAUAAACUUGUUUAUAUGAUGUGUAUCUGGGGAUAGGGAUAUGGUGCAUAAUGUUAGCGUUUCAGGGCCUUUCUCUUUAUAAAGCUUGACUUGUACAUGGUUGUAGUCCAUAAUGUUUAUCCACCAGCUGAGCUAAGUAGCCCAGACUUAAGGAAUUAUAACCCAACCGAGAAAGAAAUCCCACUUCAUUUGCAAUACUAGAGGCCUGAUGCAGGAAAUUCGUGCAAGGGGCUCAGCCCUCCUCACCGCUCCAGCUGCUGCAGGUCCCUCCUACCCCCACUGGUCAGAAGGUCGUUGGCCUACUGGUCUAAUUAGCAUAUUAGCUCUUUAUUAUAUAGGAUUGGUGAAUUUGAUUGGUCAGUGUAUAUUUCAGUUGGUAAUUGAACUCAUUGCAGGUACGAUGUCUCUAAUUCCUAGAAGCUGCAGGUGCUAACAAAACUACUGACAUAAUGGAACUUAAAUAAUCCUGUUUGCCCAAUAAAAUUCCCAGUACUCAAAUUUGGCUAACGUUAUUGAGGAACUAAUGCAUCUUGGUAACCUCACUGGGCACUUUUAUGCAUGUGUUCUCAUUUGAUUCCCCCAAGAGUAUUAUUUUUUCUUUCUUUCCUCCUCCUUUCUCUUUCUCCUUUUAAAUACAGUUGAGAUAACUGUCUUCACUUUCAAGUAGUGUAGACCUACUUGGCUCUAAAGCUUUCCAGUAAGAUUUCAAAACUUCCUCCCUCUCUAGACUCUCCAAGGUGCCUGGAAAUGCUAACUUCCUGCCAUGUGUUCUUUGCCAGAAACAAACUUUGAGCACCCAGCAGCUGGAGCCCUCUUCGUUCCUUAGUCCCAACCAGUGGCCUAUUUCAUCCUGGUGAAGUCUAAUAUCUAAGUCUAUCCAUUGUUUUGAGGAUGCAAAAAAAA